rnacentral:rRNA from 1 species
UACGAAGGGGGCUAGCGUUGCUCGGAAUCACUGGGCGUAAAGGGUGCGUAGGCGGGUUUUUAAGUCAGAGGUGAAAUCCUGGAGCUCAACUCCAGAACUGCCUUCGAUACUGGAGAGCUUGAGUCCGGGAGAGGUGAGUGGAACUGCGAGUGUAGAGGUGAAAUUCGUAGAUAUUCGCAAGAACACCAGUGGCGAAGGCGGCUCACUGGCCCGGUACUGACGCUGAGGUGCGAAAGCGUGGGGAGCAAACAGG